rnacentral:lncRNA from 1 species
AAGAACAUUCAUGAUUCAUGGGAGGAGGGCAAAAUAUCAACAGUAACAGGAGUAUGGAAGAAGUUGAUUCCAACUCUCAUAAAUGACUGUGAGAGGUUCAAGACUUCAGUGGAGGAAGUAACUGCAGUUGUGGUGGAAAUAGCUAGAGAACUACAAUUAGAAGUGGAACCUGAAGAAGUGACUGAGUAGCUGCAACCUAUGAUAAAACUUGAAUUGAUGAGGAGUUACUUCUUACAGAUGAGCAAAUAAUUCUGAAGGAGAAUCAGUAGAGACACUGAAACAAUGAAAUAUCUGAAUAUUAACAAUAUGAUUUUGGAUCAAAUGCAUUUCAGAAUCUGAAUGAAUGAAGAAUAUGAACAAGUUGCUCUGGCAAGAACUUCCAGUACAGCGUUGAUGAGCAGUGGUAAAAGGAUUUCACUGUUUUCUGCUAUCUGGAUUUUCCCAAAGAUCCGCUAAAUCCUAAACUUCAUCUUGGUCUGAAGAAGGGCAAGUCCUCUCUCCAGCUCUUCAUUUGCUGACUCUCACUGAUGCAAGAAGAAUGAAGUCUCUUACCUGCCUUCUCCUAGGACAUCCUGGGAGAAACUGUGACUGCUGGUGUGUUCUCAAAACUCACCAACAUGAUUCUCCUUGUGGCUAUAUGACUCUAGAAAGGGAAUUUAAAUAAAAUGAUAACAAUUAACAGAUACUUUUAUGUAAACAACCGGUAGUGACCACUAUACUAGUUGGUUUGUAUUUACCAAAUUCCAUGUCUGAGGCCAAGAAUUUAUCUCUAAAUCCUCUGGGAUAAAAAUCCAGCAUCUCAUCUUUUUUUCUGCCAGCUGUAAAAACAUUGCAGGAAGGUACUGAGUACUUUUUGUUGUUGUUUUCUCCUUUCUUUGAAUCUUUGGCUUUGACAAGCAUGGAAUGAAAAUCAUAUAGAGCAUGGAGCUUAUAGCAAAGGAGAAUGUAGAGGCAAAGAGAAUAAAAAUGCUGGGAUAAUUUCUUGAAAAAUUACUUAGAGGAAGAUGUCUUAUUUUUGUGUCAUAUAACCUCUCACAUGGUUCUUGAAUGUUGCUAACUAUGGCUAGCAGUGCGAUUUCCAACAAGUAAACUGUAAUCUAGCCAAUGCUGUGAGAGUUGUACAUGUCAACCAAGGGUCAAAUAUGGCUAUACCUGUCAAGAGUUGCAAAGUAAAUGUAGAAUCUUACUUUCCCGAGGUACAUAUAAUUUAAGUUUCUUGUUCUGUUCUUUACUGUGGCAUUAUUAAAACUUAAACCCACGCCAUUUUCCUACUGAGUCACUUUCAAUGCAUAAGAAUAUGCUUUCAAGCUAUAACUGCAUCAAUACCUGUGAUUGUACUUUCUAUUGAGAAUACAAAUGCUUUUUCCCCCCUUCAGAGCUGUCAAAGCUUCUGAUGCUGAAGAGUUGAUCUUGGAAAAUGCAGGUUCAGUCCUGCUACCAGCAGAAAGUGAAGAAAGUCCUUAAUUUCACAAUCGAUGUCAUCCUAACGAUGCCAGUAUAAUAAUGGUGCAGAAAACAUACUUCAUUGAUUUUAUCUUUUUCUAUUUGGGAAGGCAAAAUUAAUCAUUCAUCUGAUCUGUGAUGUGACAAGUUAGAUAUCAUAUUCUGUUAAAAUCAGUUAGUUGUCGAUCAAAAUCAACAGUGCUUUUUCUUCAGAUUGAUUGGCACUAAAUUCUUCAUAGCUUAAGAAAUUUGACAUUUUAUAUAAGAACUCAAACAGCAUGGAGCCACAAUUUUAUUGUCGAUUAUAACAUGCCUGUAAUUGACAAGUAAGUAAGUAAACACCUGUUUGGUGUGAUCCAUUCAUCUUAAUUCCAUUGUGGUCCCAUGCUUUUGCUUUAAUUUUAUGCUUGCUAUAUUUGGACCUGAAAUAACUCCCCACAAGCCUUUCUGUAAGCAAUAUUAAAAACAAACUUCUUUGGUUAACUUUCUGUAUUUCUCAGUCAGAUGCUAGGAUCAGAUGCACAGCCACAAACUUAGUUUCUCACACUAUACAUGUAAUAUAUUAAUUACAUAAUUUACCCUAUGUAUAUUUGGUUGCUACCAAAUGUUGAUGAAUCUUUGUUAGUGGAUUGUGUGCUUUUUCCAUAUGUAAUGAGAGUUUGCGACACUGCUUCUGCUUGGAAAGUAUGCUAUAGUUAAUGCAUUUAUUUUAUUAAACACCAACAGAACUACAUCUAGUUAUUUCUAAUCACUUGGUAGCUA